GUACUGUGGGGGUGGGGCAUGGAGGUGGUGGGAGGUGCUAUGGCACUGUCGGGGAGUGAGGCAGGUUGGGAAAGAAGAGACCUGUGCUGAGUGGUCAAGGAAAGGUAGCAGGAACUGUCACAUUUAAAUAUGGGUUUUAUGCUCCAAGUUGAUGGGCUUUGAUUUCAAAGUCAGGCUCAAUGGGAGCAAGCAAGAAUCUGAAGUGAGGCGAUCAUGUGAGGCUGUCCACGUAAUGGCCUUGAGUUGCACUAAGCUAGACUGUGAGGUAUGGAGGAUGGACAUCUUGCCAACAGCAUACCUUGGCCGGGAGAGGCCUGUAACAGUACUUUUUGACUCCUUCAUUGGGUUGUUAUAUCUAACACCCUUCUCCAUGCCCCAACUCUGGGUAGACGAGAAAGAGGGUUAGAGGAGAAAGGGAACAUAGACCUUUUCAGACGACUUCCUGCUGAUUGGGGCUUUGAGUUCCUUGGGGCAAGUUUGAUCUUCACUGUCAGGAU
rnacentral:lncRNA from 1 species